ACGUGCGAAAUUAGGUUCCAUUGA
rnacentral:siRNA from 1 species